CACGUAGGGCGCGAGCGUUGUCCGGAAUUAUUGGGCGUAAAGAGCUCGUAGGCGGCCUGUUGCGUCCGAUGUGAAAGCCCGGGGCUUAACCCCGGGUCGGCAGUGGAUACGGGCAGGCUAGAGGUAGGUAGGGGAGAAUGGCAUUCCCGGUGUAGCGGUGAAAUGCGCAGAUAUCGGGAGGAACACCGGUGGCGAAGGCGGUUCUCUGGGCCUUACCUGACGCUGAGGAGCGAAAGCGUGGGGAGCGAACAGG
rnacentral:rRNA from 1 species